UUUUAUUUGAGAGUUUGAUCCUGGCUCAGGAUGAACGCUGGCGGCGUGCCUAACACAUGCAAGUUGAGCGAUUUACUUCGGUAAAGAGCGGCGGACGGGUGAGUAACGCGUGGGUAACCUACCCUGUACACACGGAUAACAUACCGAAAGGUAUGCUAAUACGGGAUAAUAUAUUUGAGAGGCAUCUCUUGAAUAUCAAAGGUGAGCCAGUACAGGAUGGACCCGCGUCUGAUUAGCUAGUUGGUAAGGUAACGGCUUACCAAGGCGACGAUCAGUAGCCGACCUGAGAGGGUGAUCGGCCACAUUGGAACUGAGACACGGUCCAAACUCCUACGGGAGGCAGCAGUGGGGAAUAUUGCACAAUGGGCGAAAGCCUGAUGCAGCAACGCCGCGUGAGUGAUGAAGGCCUUCGGGUCGUAAAACUCUGUCCU
rnacentral:rRNA from 1 species